ensembl:antisense Gm15499 predicted gene 15499
AUUUCAACCAGCUAUCUCCGUGUUCCCCCUGCUGGCGAGAGUCAACAGGCCGGUCAACACUACGUGCACGGCUGGCUUCAGAGUCUAUUUUAUAGUUCGUCGAUUCGCUCAGCUGUCGUUUUCACACUUGAUCAUGAACAGACUCCAUGCAAGGGAAAUCAACUGAAGAUGACUGUCUUUCACAGAACUCAAUAAAGAAGCUAGGAGACACGUGGGCUCCGUAACGGGUUUCUCUGUGCAGCCCUGGCUGUCCUGGAACUUGCACUGUAGACCAGGUUAGCCUCGAACUCACAGAGAUCCACUUGCCUCUGCCUCCCAAGUGCUGGGAUCAAAGGUAUGCACCACCACUGCCCAGCUCAAAUAGUUCCUUUUAAAAUCUUUAGUUCUUAUAAGGACACAGAUUUUUAUCUUUUUCUUAAUU